GUCAGGAUGGCCGAGUGGUCUAAGCCGCUGCGUUCAGGUCGCAGUCUCCUCUGGAGGCGUGGGUUCGAAUCCCACUUUUUCUGAUG